rnacentral:rRNA from 1 species
ACCCCCUUAGUGGGAGAGUUGCCACCGGAUCUCAUAAGAACUCUAGAGUUAAGCAUGCUCGGGUGGAAGCAGUCCCCGGAUGGGUGACCUCCCUAGGAAGUCCCGAGUACAUGUGCAUGUGUUGCGAGAUGCUUGUUGUGCAUGUG